rnacentral:rRNA from 1 species
GACGAACGCUGGCGGCGUGCUUAACACAUGCAAGUCGAACGGAAAGGCCCUGCUUUUGUGGGGUGCUCGAGUGGCGAACGGGUGAGUAACACGUGAGUAACCUGCCCUUGACUUUGGGAUAACUUCAGGAAACUGGGGCUAAUACCAGAUAGGAGCUCCUGCUGCAUGGUGGGGGUUGGAAAGUUUCGGCGGUUGGGGAUGGACUCGCGGCUUAUCAGCUUGUUGGUGGGGUAGUGGCUUACCAAGGCUUUGACGGGUAGCCGGCCUGAGAGGGUGACCGGCCACAUUGGGACUGAGAUACGGCCCAGACUCCUACGGGAGGCAGCAGUGGGGAAUAGUGCACAAUGGGCGGAAGCCUGAUGCAGCAACGCCGCGUGCGGGAUGACGGCCUUCGGGUUGUAAACCGCUGUCGCCUGUGACGAAGCGUGAGUGACGGUAAUGGGUAAAGAAGCACCGGCUAGCUACGUG